CAGGGACAGGUUGCAGAGCUGAGCAGCCUGUCAGCCCCUGCACAGCGAGCUCUGUGGUCUUGAGAAGAGAUGCCGUCUUGCAGUGAAAAUACAAAGAAACAAAGAAGAGAAGCAGCCCUUUCCUUCAGAGGAUAAAGGUGACAAUGGUGGACAACAACCCAAAGAGCUCUUAAGAUGCAUCAUGGGGCCUUAGCCUCAACACUGAGCUCUCCAAACACGCACUUCCUGUUCUAGGAAAUGAGAAUCUUCGCAAGCAUCUCCUUGAUAAGGUUUUGCUAGAUGAGAGCUGCAGCAGAACCCAGAGAGCUUCUGACUUGAAUUUGAGUUGGGAAAGACACACAAAAGAAAGGAA